rnacentral:rRNA from 1 species
UACGUAGGGAGCAAGCGUUGUCCGGAUUUACUGGGUGUAAAGGGUGCGUAGGCGGCUUUGCAAGUCAGGCGUGAAAGCUAUGGGCUUAACUCAUAGACUGCGUUUGAAACUGUGGAGCUUGAGUGAAGUAGAGGUAGGCGGAAUUCCCGGUGUAGCGGUGAAAUGCGUAGAGAUCGGGAGGAACACCAGUGGCGAAGGCGGCCUACUGGGCUUUAACUGACGCUGAAGCACGAAAGCAUGGGUAGCAAACAGG